GACAGAGGGUGCAAACGUUGUUCGGAAUUACUGGGCGUAAAGCGUGUGUAGGCGGUCCACUAAGUCGGAUGUGAAAGCCCUGGGCUCAACCCCAGGAAGUGCACUCGAAACUGGCGGGCUAGAGUAUCGGAGAGGUUGGUGGAAUUCUCGGUGUAGAGGUGAAAUUCGUAGAUAUCGAGAGGAACACCGGUGGCGAAGGCGGCCAACUGGACGAAUACUGACGCUGAGACACGAAAGCGUGGGGAGCAAACAGG
rnacentral:rRNA from 1 species